rnacentral:rRNA from 1 species
CGGUAAUUCCAGCUCCAAUAGCGUAUACUAAAGUUGUUGCAGUUAAAAAGCUCGUAGUUGGAUUUCUGCGGGGACGGAGCGGCCGGACGCAACUUGCGUCUCGAGCUAGCGCUUUCCCCGCAUCCUGCCACGAACCGUGCUACCAUUAGUUUGGUGGCGCUGGGGAUCGGCUCGAUUACUUUGGGAAAAAUAGAGUGUUCAAAGCAGGCCACACGCCUUGAAUAAGUUAGCAUGGAAUAAUGACUAACGACUUCGGUUCUAUUUUGUUGGUGUUUGGGACUGAAGUAAUGACUGAUAGGGACAGUUGGGGCGGUCUGUAUUCCAAAGCGAGAGGUGAAAUUCUUAGACCUUCGGAAGACAAACAGCUGCGAAAGCGUUCCGCAAGGAUGUUCCCUUUGAUCAAGAACGAAAGUUGGGGGAUCGAAGACGAUCAGAUACCGUCGUAGUCUCAACUAUAAACUAUACCAGCUAGGGAUCGGCCAACGUUUAAUUAAUCGACUUGGUCGGCACCUUAUGAGAAAUCAAAGCAUCUGGGUUCCGGGGGGAGUAUGGUCGCAAGGCUGAAACUUAAAGGAAUUGACGGAAGGGCACCACCAGCCGUGGAGCCUGUGGCUUAAUUUGACUCAACACGGGAAAACUUACCAGGUCCAGACAUAGGAAGGAUUGACAGAUUGAUAGCUCUUUCUUGAUUCUGUGGGUGGUGGUGCAUGGCCGUUUUUAGUUGGUGGAGUGAUUUGUCUGCUUAAUUGCGUUAACGAACGAGACCCCAGCCUGCUAAAUAGCGCGGCUGAGCUUUGCUCGGUGCGAGCUUCUUAGAGGGACCAUGAUGCGCGAUAGCACAAGGAAGUUUGGGGCAACAACAGGUCUGUGAUGCCCUUAGAUGUUCUGGCCGCACACGGGCUACACUGGCGCCUGCAACGAGCAUAUCAGCUGGCCCGAGAGGGUCUUGGCUAAUCUUUGGAACCGGCGCCGUGCUUGGGAUUGACCAUUGCAAUUGUUGGUCAUGCAACGAGGAAUGCCUUGUAAACGCGAGUCAUCAGCUCGCAUUGAAUACGUCCCUGCCCUUUGUACACACCGCCCGUCGCUCCUACCGAUGAAUGUUCCGAUGAAAUUUUCGGAGAGCGCCGGAGAACGGGGCUCUGCCCUGCAGAACUGGAGGCUCAAAGUCACUUAAAUCUGAACAUUUCGAGGAAGGAGAAGUCGUAACAAGGUAGCCG